rnacentral:tRNA from 1 species
GCGGUGAUAGUUCAGUAGUAGAACGCGAGGGCGCCACCCUCGGGACCCGGGUGCGAUCCCCGGUCACCGCU